rnacentral:ncRNA from 17 species
AAAAUUGUGCAAAUUCAAUAUAUUGCAGGAGAUUAGUAGGCCU